rnacentral:rRNA from 1 species
AGAGUUUGAUCCUGGCUCAGAUUGAACGCUGGCGGCAUGCCUUACACAUGCAAGUCGAACGGCAGCACGGGUGCUUGCACCUGGUGGCGAGUGGCGAACGGGUGGGUAAUAUAUCGGAACGUACCUUUAUCGUGGGGGAUAACGCAGCGAAAGCUGCGCUAAUACCGCAUACGCCCUGAGGGGGAAAGCGGGGGACCGUAAGGCCUCGCGCGAUUAGAGCGGCCGAUAUCUGAUUAGCUUGUUGGUGGGGUAAAAGCCCACCAAGGCGACGAUCAGUAGCUGGUCUGAGAGGACGAUCAGCCACACUGGGACUGAGACACGGCCCAGACUCCUACGGGAGGCAGCAGUGGGGAAUUUUGGACAAUGGGGGCAACCCUGAUCCAGCAAUGCCGCGUGAGUGAAGAAGGCCUUCGGGUUGUAAAGCUCUUUUGUCAGGGAAGAAACAGCAGCUCUAACACAGUCUGCGAAUGACGGUACCUGAAGAAUAAGCACCGGCUAACUACGUGCCAGCAGCCGCGGUAAUACGUAGGGUGCAAGCGUUAAUCGGAAUUACUGGGCGUAAAGCGUGCGCAGGCGGUUAUACAAGACAGGCGUGAAAUCCCCGGG